GACGAACGCUGGCGGCGUGCUUAACACAUGCAAGUCGAACGGUGAAAGCGGAGCUUGCUCCGCUGGAUCAGUGGCGAACGGGUGAGUAACACGUGGGCAACCUGCCCCUCACUUCGGGAUAACCCCGGGAAACCGGGGCUAAUACCGGAUAUGACCUCGUUGGGCAUCCUUGGCGGUGGAAAGUUUUUCGGUGAGGGAUGGGCCCGCGGCCUAUCAGCUUGUUGGGAAGGUAGUGGCUCACCAAGGCGACGACGGGUAGCCGGCCGAAGAGGGCGACCGGCCACACUGGGACUGAGGAACGGCCCAGACUCCUGCGGGAGGCAGCAGUGGGGAAUAUUGCGCAAUGGGCGAAAGCCUGACGCAGCAACGCCGCGUGCGGGAUGACGGCCUUCGGGUUGUAAACCGCUUUCAGCAGGGAAUAAGCCGCAAGGUGACGGUACCUGCAGAAGAAGCACCGGCUAACUACGUGCCAGCCGCCGCGGUAA
rnacentral:rRNA from 1 species